AUUCUUUUUAGAGGCCUUGCCUUGGACUUCCUGGAUCCUGAUUGUUGUUUCGCGUAUCUGCUUUGGGCCAUUGCUGUUCUUCUACCACUCAUUCAUAUAUUAUUUGACCAUUUGCUUUGCUAAGAUUCAAGACAUGCAUCCUUUAGCUAGAUUCAUCUUUGUUUGAUGUAGUUCUUUGUGAUCUGAAAGCAACUGACUACUCAAUACCAAUCAGUGCAUGGAGGGAACUCCUGUCCACCAUGCCGGCGACAGGAACAUGGAAAACGCAGUCCACGGUGCCACCAAUGAACAAGAGCUGAUCAGCCCAAAGUCUAUGGUUAAUGCCAUUCUUGGUAACAUUGGUCUGCCUGAUGCAAAACAAGCAAGGACUACAAGAACUACAAUGGACGUGCCGAGACAAGCAUUGUAAGGAUCCCAGUUAGAAUGAUGCUUGAUCUCCUGGUAGAGCAUCUUGGGCUUCACAAGGCCAUCUGAGACUCGGGCUCAAUGAGAACACAAUGAGAGUCAUCAUUCUCUCUGACACUGCUGUUCAAGACGACCGGACCUGUCCACCGCGCAUGCCCAUUACUGGUGUAUGAACAUUGCAUCCUUUAAUUUACCCUGUAUAUGAACAUUCCAUUCUUCAAAUAUGUUGUACUAUCAUUCUGGUGGCUAUGGAGAUGUGUUGUACUGUAGUUUUGGUAUCCAUUGAUGAUGUCUUGCUCCGAUUACACUUGAAUCUGUA